rnacentral:rRNA from 1 species
UACGAAGGGGGCUAGCGUUGCUCGGAAUCACUGGGCGUAAAGCGCACGUAGGCGGGUCGUUAAGUCGGGGGUGAAAUCCUGGAGCUCAACUCCAGAACUGCCUUCGAUACUGGCGACCUUGAGUCCGGGAGAGGUGAGUGGAACUCCGAGUGUAGAGGUGAAAUUCGUAGAUAUUCGGAAGAACAUCAGUGGCGAAGGCGGGUCUCUGGACAGUUCCUGACGCUGAGGCACGAAGGCCAGGGGAGCAAACGGG